rnacentral:rRNA from 1 species
AACAGAUGAGGAGCUUGCUCCUCUGACGUUAGCGGCGGACGGGUGAGUAACACGUGGAUAACCUACCUAUAAGACUGGGAUAACUUCGGGAAACCGGAGCUAAUACCGGAUAAUAUAUUGAACCGCAUGGUUCAAUAGUGAAAGACGGUUUUGCUGUCACUUAUAGAUGGAUCCGCGCCGCAUUAGCUAGUUGGUAAGGUAACGGCUUACCAAGGCAACGAUGCGUAGCCGACCUGAGAGGGUGAUCGGCCACACUGGAACUGAGACACGGUCCAGACUCCUACGGGAGGCAGCAGUAGGGAAUCUUCCGCAAUGGGCGAAAGCCUGACGGAGCAACGCCGCGUGAGUGAUGAAGGUCUUCGGAUCGUAAAACUCUGUUAUUAGGG